UAUAAAAAAAAAAAAAAAAAAGGUAAAUUUCAAGUACCACUCCUGGGGUUUCGCGCUUUCUUACUUUAAUACUCUAUAGUUUAAAGUGUAUCAAAUUAAUAUCCUGUGAUUUUUUUUUUUAUCUUUUCGUCAGCUUUUUCGUUAAUAUUUUAUUAAAUUAUAUACAAAAAACUUCAGAUAUCACACCUAAGUUUAUCGAAUAUUCACUUUGGUAUUCUUUAGUUUUAACUUUAUCACUAAUUUAAUAAAAAAAUUAAUAAAAUCGAUAAUAAAAAAAUAAAAAUAAAAUCACAGAAUAAUAAAUUAAUACCAUUUAAACCAUAUGGUAUUAAAGUAAGAAUGUGUGAAACUAUAGAAAUAGCAUUUGAAAUUUUUUCAAAAAAAAAAGUAAUUUUAUAAAUAUCCUUCUACAUUGAAAAAUAUUCCGAGAGGACUUAGGAUUUAGGAUAUUGGUAUAAAAGAGUGUAGAGUUUAAGGUAUUGAAGAUAGAUUUGUAUAUUCAUAGAGUUAUUGAUUAUAUUUUUUACUAUAGAGGAAUAUUUUUAUAACAUUUUAAAAGUUUAAUUG
rnacentral:lncRNA from 1 species